UCUGGAAUUUCACCACUGCAGAGUCCAGGUUCGGGUACCCCUCGGGAAUCUUCCUGUCAGGCGAAUCCAUUCCUCAUGUUAAAUUGUGAAAGUAGGAGCUCUCAGCAGUUGCACUCACAGAGUGAUCAAAACAACAGUGACUCGACAGAUUACAAUGAGGGUAAGAGAGGACACAAUUCUGAACCUACACCUGAUUGCCAACGCUUUCCAUCUGCAACUGAUCAAACUACAAAUAGCAUUUGCUGCAAUGGUGAUCUAAACCAUGUUCAUCUGAGUUAUGGAAGCAACGGAAACAUCACACUUCCACUCAGCAAAACACCAGCAGAGUAUAGGAAAGAAGAAAGCUUUCACGCUCCUGAUGGAAAUUCUCAUCGAUCUCAAAGAGAAGCAGCUCUUACAAAAUUUCGCAUGAAGCGGAAAGAUAAGAUGCUUUGAAAAGAAGGUAUAUCAGCACCCAUCAUUUGUCUAUCAAAAGCUCGUAUUGUAUUUGACGAAUCAUUAUCUUCACCUUGAAAUUAACUGGCGGCAAGACUCAAUCUUGAAAAUCACUUCACAGAAGAACAAAAGAUCCUGUAACUUGUAAGCAUAGCAUUUCUCCUCUAAAUCAACCAACGGAAAGACAAAUAAGAUAUCAACAAGACAUACUGGUAGACAGUAAAGCCCAGAUAAAUAGAACUAAUAUGAAUGAAUGAUCAUUUUAGAGGGUUCUGUGAAUCAGUUUACAAAUGAGAAGCGCAGAUUGAACCAUUCUGAUGCCUCAGCCUUCACGCGGUGAGUUUUCAGUUUCCUAAUCUAUUCUUUUACGUGGUUUGAUGCAGCAUUAAUUUCAGAAUGAAGUGAUAAUGAAGAUAAAAGACAAUGGAUACCUUAUUGUCUGAAAAGGAAACUUCCCUUCUUCGUUGUAUUUUGAAUUGUUGAAAGCCUUACUACAAACACAUGAAACUUUGAGAGAUUGAACAACUUGAAGGACAAUAAGUUACACAUUAAACUUUGAGAGAUUGAACAACUUUUAGGACAAUAAGUUAUCUUUCAUGUCUACCUGUAAGAUGUGAUGAUCUAUUAAGAUAACAGAACUAAAAAUAUGAAUCCUGAGAUAACUUGGUUGUAGGACCUCGAGUUACUUAGGCAUCUCAUCCUUGAGUUUGAGCCGCUAAACUUAUGAAACUGUUUUGUCUAAGACCAUAGAAUGGGAGCGUCAUUUUGAAUUCUAUAAGAUGAUUUUUGAUAUUCUGAUGCAACCUUUUCAAACCAAUGAAUUUUUGUAAAUAACAAUUAGGAAAAUGCUCCUGCAGGUAUGUCAACAGGGCAAUGCAGUCUAGACAUUCAACGUCGUCUUAAGGCUUAUAAUCUACAGGAAUAUGAAGCUGAUUCUGAUAAGCAGUUAUGUGGUCAUGCCACUGAUUACAACUCAGACACCCGCGGUCCGAUGACUAGACCUCAAAGUUUUGCCCCUCUUAGUUGCGGAGAACCAAGACCAGCUGAAUUUGGACUAAACUUCUCCUCAGCAGAGAGUGACGCCUCUCUCUAUACCAGUGAGAGGUAUCAGGUUUGAGGGACCAACCUGUGCCUACAGUUCUAGGAUUGCUCCAAUACUUCGUAUGCCAUCUGGAAUUUCACCACUGCAGAGUCCAGGUUCGGGUACCCCUCGGGAAUCUUCCUGUCAGGCGAAUCCAUUCCUCAUGUUAAAUUGUGAAAGUAGGAGCUCUCAGCAGUUGCACUCACAGAGUGAUCAAAACAACAGUGACUCGACAGAUUACAAUGAGGGUAAGAGAGGACACAAUUCUGAACCUACACCUGAUUGCCAACGCUUUCCAUCUGCAACUGAUCAAACUACAAAUAGCAUUUGCUGCAAUGGUGAUCUAAACCAUGUUCAUCUGAGUUAUGGAAGCAACGGAAACAUCACACUUCCACUCAGCAAAACACCAGCAGAGUAUAGGAAAGAAG
rnacentral:lncRNA from 1 species